AUUGAACGCUGGCGGCAGGCCUACCACAUGCCAGUCGAACGGUAACAGGAAGAAGCUUGCUUCUUUGCUGACGAGUGGCGAACGGGUGAGUAAUGUCUGGGAAACUGCCUGAUGGAGGGGGAUAACUACUGGAAACGGUAGCUAAUACCGCAUAACGUCGCAAGACCAAAAAGGGGGACCUUCGGGCCUCUUGCCAUCGGAUGUGCCCAGAUGGGAUUAGCUAGUAGGUGGGGUAACGGCUCACCUAGGCGACGAUCCCUAGCUGGUCUGAGAGGAUGACCAGCCACACUGGAACUGAGACACGGUCCAGACUCCUACGGGAGGCAGCAGUGGGGAAUAUUGCACAAUGGGCGCAAGCCUGAUGCAGCCAUACCGCGUGUAUGAAGAAGGCCUUCGGGUUGUAAAGUACUUUCAGCGGGGAGGAAGGAAGUAAAGUUAAUACCUUUGCUCAUUGACGUUACCCGCAGAAGAAGCACCGGCUAACUCCGUG
rnacentral:rRNA from 1 species